rnacentral:rRNA from 1 species
GACAGAGGUGCCAAGCGUUAGGCGGAAUCACUGGGCUUAAAGCGUGUGUAGGCGGAAUUGUAAGUACCUUGUGAAAUCCCAUGGCUCAACCAUGGAACUGCUCGGUAUACUGCUUUUCUUGAGCCACUUAGGGGCUACCGGAACAAAUGGUGGAGCGGUGAAAUGCGUAGAUAUCAUUUGGAACGCCAAUGGUGAAAACAGGUAGCUGAGAGUGUGCUAACGCUGAGACACGAAAGCCAGGGGAGCGGACGGG